UCUAAGCCCAGCUCCACCGUUAGCUCCCGAAUCUCGGUGUGGCCGCGGCGCCGAGGGGAGGCGAGAAAUGUCGUCCUCCGUCUCCGCCGCCGUUCUCCGCCGCCUCGGCGACCGGCUCGGCCUCCGCCGACUCGCGACGCUCCCCGACUACGCGGCCGGCGCCGAGGAGCUGCCGCAGCACCCCACCUCCAAGGACGCCUACUUCGCGGCGGUCAACCACCUCUCCACCAUCGUACGGCGCGACUUCUACCUGGAGCGCACCCUGAACCGCCUCCGCCUGCCGUCCCCCUUCCCGCCGGACCUCGCGCUCCGCGUCAUCCGCGCCGCUGCCCCCUCCGAGCCCCUCCACGCCGCCCGCUUCCUAGCGUGGCUCCGGGCGAAGCCCAAUUUCUCCCCCUCCGCCGAUCACUUCGACGCGCUGCUCCUCCCGCUCGCCCGCGCGCGCCUCUUCACCCACCUCUGGACCCAGGCCUCCGACAUGCGCGCGCUCGGCCUCCCCCUCUCUCCGGCAACCUUCUCGGCGGUUAUCUCGUCCUACGGCCACUCCCGCCUCGCCGAGCAGGCCGUCGAGGUCUUCAAUCGCCUUCCCCACUUCGGGUGCCCGCAGACCACCGAGGUCUACAACGCCCUUCUGGACGCGCUCUGCGCCAACGGCAACUUCGCCGGCGCCUACAAGCUGCUACGCCGCAUGGCGCGCAAGGGCGUGGCCCCCGACCGCGCCACGUUCAGCACGCUCGUCGACGCCUGGUGCGCGUCGGGGAAGCUCCGGGAGGCGCAGGCGUUCCUCGACGACAUGUCGUCCCGCGGGUUCCGGCCGCCGGUGCGCGGUCGGGACCUCCUCGUCGACGGGCUCGUCCGAGCUGGGCGCCUGGAGGAAGCCAAGGCAUUCGCCCUCCGCAUCACCAAGGAGGGCGUCCUCCCCGACGUGGCCACAUUCAACUCGCUCGCCCAGGCGCUUUGCGAUGCAGGUGAUGUGGAAUUCGCCGUGGGUCUUCUUGCCGAUGCUUCCAGUCGUGGCAUGUGCCCAGAUAUCUCAACUUACAAAGUGAUGCUACCGGCGGUGGCCAAGGCUGGCCGAAUUGAGGAGGCAUUCAGAUUGUUCUAUGCAGCUAUUGAGGAUGGCCACCGGCCCUUCCCAAGUCUAUAUGCGGCGAUCGUCAAGGCGCUCUGCAAGGCAGGUCGUUUCGCUGAUGCUUUCGCCUUUUUUGGUGAUAUGAAGUCCAAGGGGCACCCACCUAAUCGGCCUGUGUAUGUGAUGCUUGUCAAAAUGUGUGUGAGGGGUGGUCGGUUCUUGGAUGCUGCAAACUACCUUCUUGAGAUGAAUGAGGCUGGGUUCGCGCCACGGGCGCCAACCUUUAACGUUGUAGUUGAUGGGCUGCGGCAUCUUGGGAAACAUGACCUAGCCCGGAGGAUGGAGCAGCUUGAGAUGUCACUAAAAGGAAACUGAAUGGAUCCGGAAGUAGAUGCAUUCUGGUGGGGCGCUGCGAAUUGCUUGGUAAUGUUUCUGAAUUUCCAGGCAGGGCUCCUAUCUUCUAAUUGUAUUUCAUGACAUAGGCCGCCAGUGCUAUGCUGUUGGACUGUGACUGAUAUGCUUGGCAAGUGAUUUACUUGUUUUCGGUAGGAAGAAUCAAUGAAUAAGGCCAUCAGAUAGCCUCAACUAAUGUGCUCAAAAUUGUGCAGUGUUGGUUCACAAGAAAAGUAGUGGUGGAGUAGGCACUAAGUUCAGAGGAAGGUAAGUUUUGUGGUUGCAUGGAUAAGAUUAUUGAAAUAUCCAUGAUCCAUUGGUGUUUGACCAGGUGUUUUCACUGUUCAAUUUAGAACCAACUCUGCGCUCCAUGAUAGUUCAGUAUAAAGAUUGGACCCAUGCUACCUUGUAUGAUCUAAAAGUGUAUUGUUGAGAUGUCACUAGAAGGAAACUGAAUGAACCGGGAAUUAGAUGCCGUCUAGUGGGGUGCUGUGAAUUGCAUGGUAAAGGUUCUGAAUUUUCAGUGUUUCAACUUUACUUUGCCCUUCGUGAGCAUCAGAUACUCGAUUGGCAUGCAGAAUUGGACUAGCCUUACAGUGUCCUAAUACCUUCUACAAGGAACCAUCCGGGUGCACCCAACGAGAUCAAAGCUGAAUGAACCUAUGUUGUUACAUCAUGUGGCCAGAAUAGCCGGGCAUGCGGUGGCUCGACGUUCACAAGCUGAUUACAGGCUAUUGUAUCUCCUGAACAUACUACUGCAGAACUCAAGAAUUUCCCAGUGAUUUGGGGAAGGAAUUUGCCUCCCGUUCGAUGGCCUGCCUUCUGUCGACAAACUACUGUCACGGCGGUGUUAGUAAGCGUACGGGCACGACUGCAAAAGGGGGGAAUGCAGAAAUGUUUUGAAAUCAGGAGGUCAGCUAUGAUCCUAUGACUGAUCACACCGCUGAGGAACGCAAAUUCGAGAAGCUGAGGGAGGGGGUUGAUGAUGAGAUACAGCAUUGUCUUGCAUUUCAUGGACUCGGAAUUGAUUAUUUUUUUCUUGUGAAAAAACAUUGCUUAAUGUGAAUGUUGCAAUGAACUGAUA